UCGAGAAUUUUUCACAAUGGGCGAAAGCCUGAUGGAGCGACGCCGCGUGGGGGAUGAAUGGCUUCGGCCCGUAAACCCCUGUCAUUUGCGAACAAGUUGUUUCACCUAACACGUUAAACAUUGAUAGUAGCGAAAGAGGAAGGGACGGCUAACUCUGUGCCAGCAGCCGCGGUAAUACAGAGGUCCCAAGCGUUGUUCGGAUUCACUGGGCGUAAAGGGUGCGUAGGCGGUCGGGUAAGUCUGACGUGAAAUCUCCAAGCUCAACUUGAAAAUGGCGUCGGAUACUAUUCGGCUGGAGGAUUGGAGGGGAGACUGGAAUUCUCGGUGUAGCAGUGAAAUGCGUAGAUAUCGAGAGGAACACCAGUGGCGAAGGCGAGUCUCUGGACAAUUCCUGACGCUGAGGCACGAAAGCCAGGGGAGCAAACGG
rnacentral:rRNA from 1 species